rnacentral:lncRNA from 1 species
UUUUUCACAUCUGUACAUGGAACAUUCUCUAAAAUUGACCACAUAGUCGUAAGUCACAUCUCAAUAAGAUAAAAAAAAUCAAAAUCAAUGCAAGUGUCUUCUGAGGUCACAAUGAAAUAAAAUUAGAAAUGAAGAACAAGAGGAAUUCUCAAAACGACACAAAUACAUGGAAACUAAACAACCUGCACCUGAAUUCUGAAAAAACAAAAUUAAUGCAUAAAUCAAAAAAAUUGAAACAUGAAAAUUGAAACACAACAUACCAAAACC